UCUAAGGAUGAAUGAAAGUAAAAUUUCAUUCUAAAUAAUACACAGGUUAAUGUUGACCGUCCUCGUUUCUCUUCUUAAAUUUAGUGUUUCUCUUCUGCAUUGGGGCCGGUAGCUCAGUUGGUUAGAGCACACCCUUGAUAAGGGUGGGGUCGAAAGUUCGAGUCUUUCUCGGCCCACCAAUAUAAAUGGGGGAUUAGCUCAGCUGGGAGAGCGCCUGAUUUGCAUUCAGGAGGUCAGCGGUUCGAUCCCGCUAUCCUCCACCAAGAAACACUUAGUUAUUCAAACUGUAAAUAAAAAUAAUUAUUAUCAAUAUCUAUAUCCGAACAUUAAUUUGUUAAUUAAUGUUCAAACAAAAAUUUGAUUCAACACAGAAUUUUUUUCUGUGCAUAAAU
rnacentral:tRNA from 1 species